UUAUCCAAGGCUCCAAAUAUGAGAUAUAAAUCCCCAAAUAUUAAGACAACAAUGAGAAGUAUUUGGAUUUAACGGGUUGCUGUUUCUUGCAGGAGAUUAAAGAUGCUGCUGUUGCUCCUGCUCCUCACGAGUGAUCAUCAGGUGGAGGUGAAGGUGGAGGAAGGCUCAGAGUCUGUCACCCUGCCCUGCAAAACAACACCUGACCUGCCUGAGAACACCAGAGUGGAGCGGACUCGCUCUGACCAUGAACUCUUGAUAGUUCAGGAGUAUUCAAACAAAGGUGGCAAACUUAUGAAACAGGACAAGUUUUACAGAGACCGAACAGAAAUGAAUGAAGACCUGCUGAAAACUUCAGUCUGACCCUGAAACAGCCCACAGAGAGACACAGGAGGAUACAUCUGCACCAUCUACAGGGACAAAGACAUCCUGAGACAGAAAGUAGUGCUGCACUAUGUCAGAGAAAAACUUCCACUUUGGGCCACAGCUGUCGUAGUUCUUCUUGUUCUUGUGUUUUUUGGGGGUCUCACAUAUAGAUUUCAACACUAUUUCAUGUCAGACUGUCAGGUGCAGGUGGAGUCAGGGGUGGAGUCUGUAAAGCUGCCUUUCAAAACCAAAGCAAAAAAUAUACCUGAAGAUGCUAAAGUGGAAUGGAAGGACAGAUACAACAACAAAGUCCAUGUGCACCAGAAUGGUUGUGAUAGGAUUGAAGACCAAAGCCCAGCAUACAGGAAGCGAACAGAGAUGAACCUGCUAGAAACUGGAGACCUCAGUCUGACCCUGAAAUACCCACAAACAAGGACAGAGGCACCUACACCUGCACCGUCUACAACAAGGAGGGAGGAAAAUUCCAGAUAGACAAACAGGUGGAGCUUAAAGUCAGAGCAUCCACCCCUAACAGCCUUGCUGCUCUCCUUCUGUCACAAAUCACCUUUGAUAUUGAUCUCCACCCAAUCCACCCCGCCUGCAUUCUCCUUUAUCACCUCCCUUUGCAUUGUCCAUUCCUUUCAAGGGUUGACUCCAGGUAGUUAAACUCAUCUACUUUCACUACUUCUGCUACUUCCAUGUUCACCUUCCCACCUGUCUGCCUCUCAUGCAUGCACUUGUAUUCUGCUAUGCUUCUAC